UUGUCUCAAAGAUUAAGCCAUGCAUGUCUCAGUACAAGCCAAAUUAAGGUGAAACCGCGAAAGGCUCAUUAAAUCAGUUAUGGUUCCUUAGAUCGUACCCACAAUUACUUGGAUAACUGUGGUAAUUCUAGAGCUAAUACAUGCAAAUAGAGCUCCGACCGGAGACGGAAGGAGUGCUUUUAUUAGAUCAAAACCAAUCGGUGGCGGGUUCGCGAGAGCUCGUCAUCGUACAACUUGGUGACUCUGAAUAACUUUACGCUGAUCGCACGGUCUCGCACCGGCGACGCAUCUUUCAAAUGUCUGCCUUAUCAACUGUCGAUGGUAGGUUCUGCGCCUACCAUGGUUGUAACGGGUAACGGGGAAUCAGGGUUCGAUUCCGGAGAGGGAGCCUGAGAAACGGCUACCACAUCCAAGGAAGGCAGCAGGCGCGCAAAUUACCCACUCCCGGCACGGGGAGGUAGUGACGAAAAAUAACGAUACGGGACUCAUCCGAGGCCCCGUAAUCGGAAUGAGUACACUCUAAACCCUUUAACGAGGAUCAAUUGGAGGGCAAGUCUGGUGCCAGCAGCCGCGGUAAUUCCAGCUCCAAUAGCGUAUAUUAAAGUUGUUGCGGUUAAAAAGCUCGUAGUCGAAUUUGUGUCUCGCGCCGCCGGUUCAUCGUCCGCGGUGUUAACUGGCGUGUCGCGAGACAUCCUGCCGGUGGGCCGCCGUCGGCGUGUUUAACUCGCAAGGGUGGCGCGCACGUACGCGCGGCCCAACUCAACCCUGCCGCGGUACUCUCCGGGCCCAACUCAAUCCUGCCGCGGUGCUCUUCAUUGAGUGUCGAGGUGGGCCGGCACGUUUACUUUGAACAAAUUAGAGUGCUUAAAGCAGGCUAAAACUUCGCCUGAAUACUGUGUGCAUGGAAUAAUGGAAUAGGACCUCGGUUCUAUUUUGUUGGUUUUCGGAACCCCGAGGUAAUGAUUAAUAGGAACGGAUGGGGGCAUUCGUAUUGCGACGUUAGAGGUGAAAUUGUUGGACCGUCGCAAGACGGACAGAAGCGAAAGCAUUUGCCAAAAACGUUUUCAUUGAUCAAGAACGAAAGUUAGAGGUUCGAAGGCGAUCAGAUACCGCCCUAGUUCUAACCAUAAACGAUGCCAGCUAGCGAUCCGUCGACGUUCCUCCGAUGACUCGACGGGCAGCUUCCGGGAAACCAAAGCUUUUGGGUUCCGGGGGAAGUAUGGUUGCAAAGCUGAAACUUAAAGGAAUUGACGGAAGGGCACCACCAGGAGUGGAGCCUGCGGCUUAAUUUGACUCAACACGGGAAACCUCACCAGGCCCGGACACCGGAAGGAUUGACAGAUUGAGAGCUCUUUCUUGAUUCGGUGGGUGGUGGUGCAUGGCCGUUCUUAGUUGGUGGAGCGAUUUGUCUGGUUAAUUCCGAUAACGAACGAGACUCUAGCCUGCUAACUAGGGGUAUUUUGACAUCGCAAAGGCCCGCGGGCAGCUCGGGGUUUGCGCUCCCGGUUGUCGCGCGCGGUUUUUACUGUCGGCGUACAAACAAUUCUUUUUAGAGGGACAGGCGGCUUCUAGCCGCACGAGAUUGAGCAAUAACAGGUCUGUGAUGCCCUUAGAUGUUCUGGGCCGCACGCGCGCUACACUGAAGGAAUCAGCGUGUCCUCCCUGGCCGAGUGGCCCGGGUAACCCGCUGAACCUCCUUCGUGCUAGGGAUUGGGGCUUGCAAUUGUUCCCCAUGAACGAGGAAUUCCCAGUAAGCGCGAGUCAUAAGCUCGCGUUGAUUACGUCCCUGCCCUUUGUACACACCGCCCGUCGCUACUACCGAUUGAAUGAUUUAGUGAGGUCUUCGGACCGACGCGCGAUGGCGUUUCCGCGUCGUCGAUGUGUCUGGGAAGAUGACCAAACUUGAAUCAUUU
rnacentral:rRNA from 1 species